CUCUGCUGACAUCUUUACCUGACAGUAUUAGAAUUUUGUCAUUGAAAUCUAAUGCUGUCACGUAAGAUGCCUUCAGA
rnacentral:pre_miRNA from 1 species